GACGAACGCUGGCGGCGUGCUUAACACAUGCAAGUCGAACGCUGAAGCUUGGUACUUGCACUGGGUGGAUGAGUGGCGAACGGGUGAGUAAUACGUGAGUAACCUGCCCUUGACUCUGGGAUAAGCCUGGGAAACUGGGUCUAAUACUGGAUACGACAUGUCACCGCAUGGUGGUGUGUGGAAAGGGUUUUACUGGUUUUGGAUGGGCUCACGGCCUAUCAGCUUGUUGGUGGGGUAAUGGCUCACCAAGGCGACGACGGGUAGCCGGCCUGAGAGGGUGACCGGCCACACUGGGACUGAGACACGGCCCAGACUCCUACGGGAGGCAGCAGUGGGGAAUAUUGCACAAUGGGCGGAAGCCUGAUGCAGCGACGCCGCGUGAGGGAUGACGGCCUUCGGGUUGUAAACCUCUUUCAGCACGGAAGAAGCGAAAGUGACGGUACGUGCAGAAGAAGCGCCGGCUAACUACGUG
rnacentral:rRNA from 1 species